GGUGAAAAUAAUUGGGAUUGGAGAGACAAGGGGAAGAAGAAGUAACUGAGGAACCGAAGAGAUUCACAAUGCAGGAAAUGGCAAAGAGAUUUUCUUUAUUUGAGGGGGCACCGUUAGUUUUUGAGGUACAGGACCUGAACAUAGAACGGUACACGAAGGUUGCAGCAGACGUUCAGAAUGCAAUCCAGUGCUACCUUGUCAUCUAUAAGGAGAAAAA